rnacentral:rRNA from 1 species
AUAGCGUAUAUUAAAGUUGUUGCAGUUAAAAAGCUCGUAGUUGAAUUUUAGGCCUGGUUGGACGGUCUGCCUUAGGGUUUGUACUGUCCUGGCUGGGUCUUCCCUUCUGGUAAACUGUCGUGUCGUUUAUUCGGUGCGGCAGGGAACCAGGACUUUUACUUUGAAAAAAUUAGAGUGUUUAAAGCAGGCCUACGCCUGAAUACAUUAGCAUGGAAUAAUAAAAUAGGACUUUGGUUUUAUUUUGUUGGUUUCUAGGACCGAAGUAAUGAUUAAUAGGGAUAGUUGGGGGCAUUAGUAUUUAAUUGUCAGAGGUGAAAUUCUUGGAUUUACUCAAGACUAACUACUG